UGUGCGGGGAGAGACCCAGACGUGGGGU
rnacentral:sRNA from 1 species